rnacentral:misc_RNA from 1 species
GAUGAAGAACGUAGCGAAAUGCGAUAAGUAAUGUGAAUUGCAGAAUUCAGUGAAUCAUCGAAUCUUUGAACGCACAUUGCGCCCGCCAGUAUUCUGGCGGGCAUGCCUGUUCGAGCGUCAUUUCAACCAUCAAGCCCCCCGGCUUGUGUUGGGGACCUGCGGCUGCCGCAGGCCCUGAAAAGCAGUGGCGGGCUCGCUGUCACACCGAGCGUAGUAGCAUACAUCUCGCUCUGGGCGUGCUGCGGGUUCCGGCCGUUAAACCACCUUCAUAACCCAAGGUUGACCUCGGAUCAGGUAGGAAGACCCGCUGAACUUAAGCAUAUCAAUAAGCGGAGGA